rnacentral:lncRNA from 1 species
CUAUCAGUCAGUCAGUCAGUCAGUCAGUCUAUCAGUCAGUCAGUCUAUCAGUCAGUGUGUCAGUCAGUCAGUCUAUCAGUCAGUCAGUCAGUCAGUGUGUCAGUCAGUCUAGUCAGUCUAUCAGUCAGUCAGUCAGUCAGUAUAUCAGUCAGUCUAUCAGUCAGUCAGUCUAUCAGUCAGUCAGUCAGUAUAUCAGUCAGUGUGUCAGUCAGUCAGUCAGUCUAUCAGUCAGUGUGUCAGUCUAUCAGUCAGUCAGUGUGUAAGUCAGUCAGUGUGUCAGUCAGUCAGUAUAUCAGUCAGUCAGUAUAUCAGUCAGUCAGUGUGUCAGUCAGUCAGUAUAUCAGUCAGUCUAUCAGUCAGUCAGUGUGUCAGUCAGUCAGUGUGUCAGUCAGUCUAUCAGUCAGUCAGUGUGUCAAUCAGUCAGUAUAUCAGUCAGUGUGUCAGUCAGUGUGUCAGUCAGUCAGUAUAUCAGUCAGUCAGUGUGUCAGUCAGUCAGUGUGUCAGUCAGUCAGUCAGUGUGUCAGUCAGUCAGUCAGUCUAUCAGUCAGUGUGUCAGUCAGUCAGUCAGUCAGUCUAUCAGUCAGUGUGUCAGUCAGUCU